rnacentral:snRNA from 1 species
UAUGUUACUCGAUCAGGGUCAAUGGGUGGUAAUCGUAAAGGCCUAUGGUCUAGAUUGGUGACUUUCAUACCCUUGGGAAGGGAUCUUGCAUAAGGUCGGUCCAAAUGGUCGAGCCUAUACCAUAAUUUGUGAGUGGAAAAAUGCAUUUGUGCCCCACCCUU